rfam:Candidatus Magnetoglobus multicellularis str. Araruama Cont90, whole genome shotgun sequence.
CCUGGUAUGUUCCUACCAGUCCCUAAGCGGGCGUGCUCGCCACGCGCUGUGUGGUCGGUGCGCAGCCCCGCUGACAAAGGAUCGAAUUGGGUUGGGUUGGAUUGGAUUGGUGACAUGAAAACCCCUCAGGAAAUCCUCUCCUGUUAAGGCC